UGUUUCUUGUGUGAUAAUACCUACUAGCUUAAUGGUUCAACUGACAAAAACAUAACACCAGAAAAUCCCUUUUGAUCAUAACAGUCCCCUAGCUCUGAGCUGACAGGAAGUAAUUUAGUGAAAAAAUAUUAAAUAAUCACAAAUAACAGUCUAUAAAAAUUAGAUGUGGUUUUAAACAAAGUAUGUCUGGAUAGUUGAACCAUGAUUAUUGUGUCUUUCUUUUGAGAAGGAAUUCCUAAAACAGGAAUUAAAGCAGCUGAGUGAAAAGAGAAGGCAAACUGGGCUGAACUGUUGGAUUGUGCACUUGUGGUCUGUAAGAAGAAUAUUGUCAAAAUGUGUUGUCAUAAAUGUCAAGUGUCUAUUAAUAUGAAAAGUCACUGGGUGCAUUUACCCCACGUGCUUUCUUUGCCUUCCCUCCUGCAUCCUCCCCACCCACCCCUGCAAAUGACUUGUUCCCCUUUAUACUUCUGGUUUAGCUAUUGAACUGAAGCACUGAUGUAGCUGUUCAUUUACACAGGUAAUUUUUCUGUAUGAAUGAGCACUAGUCUCAACUCCAAGGCUAUGGGCUGACAGUUGCUCUACUACAAACAGACUCCUGAAACUUUUUUUCCCGAAGGCAUUAGAGAUUAACAUUGCUUAUCUAUAAAAUCCCAUGAAAUGUAUGAGAAUCCACUGUGGCUUGUGUUGAAACUACAGCCGUGCCAGUGGUCAGCCCUUGCUGCUUCUGUAUUUGUUUGUGAACUUACCCCAGUACUUUCUCCAGAGUCAGUUGUACAGUUACUUGGAUCCUGUCAGCUUUGUUUGCCUUUCCAGAUCUCAUGAUCCAGAGCUACUUUGAGAACAGCUGUUCCUGGAUGGAUUUCAGUGCUUCUGUUCCCGACCUGAACAAAAACAAAGAGGAUGACCAGGUUGGCAAUGGAAGUAUUGAAAUGCUUGUUUCUGGAAUGACUGGAGGGGAUGGAGGAGCCUGGACACGGCGGCCGCACUUGCCAAUCAAUACCUAUGAGAUUUUAGCAAACAUGAUACAAAACAAAGUUAAUGUUUCAUGAAAUAUGGAUUCAGACUAACUCUGUGUCCCAAGCUGAGAUCAUACUAGGGUUUGUAGUUUCUGCAUGUUGGCUAAGCAGCAAUUACACAAUUCUCAGAGGAAAACUGAGCUUGGCCAGCAGUGUUAUCCUGGUAGUCACUAAUCUUACCAGAGAAAUGGAUACUUUUUUCUAUAGUUAGCAAUCUACCAGCCCAUUCUUUGCAUAAUUGGAAGCUUUGUUGAAUUCUCAAUGUAAAUGAUAUGGGAAAGCUAAGCAUAUCAUUUUUGUUAGUAGGUGUAACAAGAAAAAGCAUAGCAAAACAAAUGAUUCAAAGAAUGUUCCAAAUGAAUCAUGUAAAUGAAGUGCAUGACCAAAAACUGUUGUUUUGCAUAUUUUCAAUAGUUAUAAUUAACUGGGAUGUCUGGGAGUAAAAACAUGAGCAAGGCAGGAGUGGCAGCUGAGUGAAUAGGGCAGAAGCAGCUGGCUAUGUGGAGGCAAAUUCCUGCUGUGUGAGGACAGCAGCUUGCUUCUGAACGGGGCGGCUAAAGUCAGUGAGCGCCACAAAACAGUAAGCUUUAUUUCAACUGUAAAGAUGCAUGCUUAAAGAGUGAUGGAUGAGUGAGUGCUUUUUACCUUCCUCCAUUUUAGCGUUAGCAAUGAGCAUUUGCCUCAGAUGUUUGAUGAGUCCAGGCCAACUGAACGUGCUGUAUGCAAGGGAGUUUUCAGGCAUCUGAGGUAUGUUACGGAGACCCAACAUCUUGAAUUCAGGAUGUGGAACUAACGUCUCCAUUAAGUCCCCUGAAAAAAGAAGAAAUAACAGCUGCUCAUGUUUGACAAAAAUAUCGCAUAGGCUAGUUAAAAAGGGAGAAGAGUGUGCGUGAGGAAUUUUACAAAGAUCUAGUAACUGAAGGUGAGAAACAAACCUGAAUAUGUAAGGUUUAAAUUUAACAAAUAUACAGAUGCAUCUGACAAAAUGCAAAGAUUUACUACCUACCACUGAGUUUUAUACAGGCAAGUUAACAGCUCUUAUUAUUCUUGCUUUAUUAUCUGGCUCAGAAUCUUAAAGACUUUCUAUGCUGCUGAAGAGAUGGAAAGGAAAAUGAGAGCUUAAUUUUACAAGCAAAUUCCUGGCAAGCCAGUUGCUUGUUGCUACCAAGUUGCAUGCUAGUGUGCCUUCUGAGCUAAACACAAAACUAGCAUUUUGUUUGUACAAGCUUCUAACCUAACAUUAAAUGUAAAAACUCAGCCUAAAAUUACUGCCCGGCACAAAUCUCCUCUGAAAGGUAAAUACAAGGGUGGUAGCCAUUUGAAGAAAGAGGAACACGGGUCUUUUGGUAAAGAAUGAAACCAGAAGCUGGGUAUCUGUAUCUGUAUCUCCGCUACAAAAUUGGGGUUGAAUUACUAACUUAGUCUUUCGCUUCACUAUCUGUUUUUACUGUCGUAAGCCUUGGGUUAUACCCAAAUACUUGAGAAAAAGAGACUGAAGAACAUAAAUGCCCAACAUGAAAUGAUUACUGAAAGAUGUGUAAGAAUUCCUUAAUAUCUAUACUGCGGUUAGAUACCUAAAGGGUUUCUGCUGUAGUGUAAGCCAGCUUCUGCUGUGCGAGCGGGCUGGAAAACACUCCCCAGUUGAUGUGCAAUGACUUGAUUUACAUCCCUGAAGGAGAUCUGUUUAAUAUGCAUCAGCUGAGCACAAAUCUUGUGGAUGACAUCAUUUUCAUGAACAAGAAGAGCAUCUGAUGACUGAUACAGAUGUGACAGAGUCAAAACAGAGUUGUAGUUUUGAACAAUGACCUGGAAAAAGAAAAAAAAAAAAAUGAACACAAAUGAGAGUCAAACAAGUUGAUCUCUUUCUAUCUAGGUAACAUAUUCUUCUGGCUACUGUCAUUUCCUCAGUUAUGGUUAAGGAAGUGAUUCAUUUUCUUUGCCAAAGUGCAGAAUAAGGUCAGGAACUGGCACAGCUUUUUCAUGGAAAGAGAGCAAGACCUAUGAAAAUCAUGUUACUCAUCUCAGUUCAGAAUGAAACCUGUCUGGGAACUGACUGUCAUGCUGAGAUACUGUCAUAACAGGAGAUUUCUAGUUAGCUAGUAGAGCUUCUCAUGAAACUGCAUUAUACCAUAGCACUUUGCUAUUUUGCUUAAAAUCUACUUUUAUAAGUAGAUUUUAAAUGUUUUCUUACUAGCUUGAGAUAUUUGUGAUCUUUAGAUAAAUUUGAUAAUUUUGAUUUUUUUAAAUGAAACUACAUGUACCAAAUAUUAGGCAAAAAAAUUGCUUUGUGUCAUGUUGAACGUUAAAAGAAUAAAAUGUUCCUCUUUUCUAUUUUA